GAGGGUGUAGCUCAGUGGUGGAGCGCAUGCUCAGCAUGCAGGACGUCCUGGGUUCAAUCCCCAGCACCUCCU
rnacentral:tRNA from 1 species